CAAUGUAUUAAUCAGAAGAGAAUGGUUGCAUUUCUCAAUCAUUUUGUGAGUCACACUGCUGGUUUCCUGAACAGGUUCUCAUGUGUUUGUGAGGAGAAACUGGAACAUUUGUCACACAGAAUGCAACAACUUGAAAUCACUAUGAGUCUUCUUUAGGCUAAGAUUUCAUCUAUACUUGGAUUAGAAAACGUUACAGCAGCUAGUAGCUCUUCCAGCGGACCCACACCAACUACCUCUAAUGGCGCCGGAGGCACAGCACCACCUCCAGCGCCCUCUGUCCCAACCAGCACUGAGCCACCCGCUGAACAGCCUACUGGGGAUAAUGCCCCUCCGCCCCCACAACCUGAGCCUGUAGCAAGCAAUCCUGUAUCACAAGAUCCAAGAUUUGUUAAAUAUUUCAAAAUGGUGAAAAUGGGAGUUCCUGAGUCUGCUGUAAAAAUGAAGAUGUGAGCAGAAGGGUUGAACCCUGACCUACUAGAG